AAUUUUGGACAAUGGGGGAAACCCUGAUCCAGCCAUCCCGCGUGUAUGAUGAAGGCCUUCGGGUUGUAAAGUACUUUUGGCAGAGAAGAAAAGGUACCUCCUAAUACGAGGUACUGCUGACGGUAUCUGCAGCAUACGCACCGGCUAACUACGGGCCAGCAGCCGCGGGAAUACGUAGGGUGCAAGCGUUACCCGGGAUUAAUGGGCGGAGAGCGUGUGUAGGCGGUUCGGAAAGAAAGGUGUGAAAUCCCAGGGCUCAACCUUGGAACUGCAUUUUUAACUGCCGAGCUAGAGUAUGUCAGAGGGGGGUAGAAUUCCACGUGUAGCAGUGAAAUGCGUAGAUAUGUGGAGGAAUACCGAUGGCGAAGGCAGCCCCCUGGGAUAAUACUGACGCUCAGACACGAAAGCGUGGGGAGCAAACA
rnacentral:rRNA from 1 species